ACUUCCAUACACAAGUGUGAUUAACUCGUAAUUUAGCAAAAAGUGCGUUCUCUUAAUUAUUUUAGAAUUGUAGAGAUUAAAAUAAUUACGUUCUGGAAACCAAACAUGGCAGGUUACGAAUCUGCUCGUGUUGUCAAGGUAGGAUGACUUUCACAUGAACCCGACGUUAUGAAUUAAACACCCGUCUAUGGUGAACAUCCCCUGACUAUGUAGGGAGCAGUGGACACGAUGGGAGUCGACUGAUUGACACAGACUGACAGGAAUGGCGCGCUUUUUAAGGAUCAAAGCUAAAGCAACCACAAAGGGUUAAAGUUCAGUGGAAGAAGAGAAAUCACAUCAUGAUAGAGUGACUCCUGCGGAAAGCGAGGUUAGGAGAAGGACAAGCACAAAGUAAAAAAAAAGACGAGGUACAUUAGAGAUGUGUUUGAUGUCCGUCUGCUCCUGUCAGAUGAGUUUCCCCUGUGGGCACCGAGCCCAAACCACUGGAGUUCCCUCUUGAAAUGGCGCCAGACGGGCAGCGUUAAUGGAGCGUCGUGGACGUGACGCCGCGUGUACUCACGUAAAGCAAACUCAAGAGCGUGCGUCAUGUGACUUGGAGGGACAUGCUGUUUUUCAAGCUAUUUUUAAGGUCUCGUCUGAUCUCUGUGUCUUCGGCUUCGUCCUCAGCUGAACUCAGUGCAGCGGUAUACGCCUGUCAGACAAAGGAGCUGCUCAGGAACAGAACAGAAAACCGCAGGGUACGCAAGGAUGGCCAAACUACGGUGAUGUUGCUUAUCUGUGGCCAACCGAGCGUUAGCGCCUCCCCGCUGAGCGACCCUCGGGCGAGAGAACAGACGCACAACAUGGGCAUGAAGACGCUUUCAUGUCCUGCAACAGUUUAAAGCUAAGCAGGUAAACAAGGGUGUUUUACAAAGAAAACACAGCUUGGUGAUAGGCUAAAUGAGAUCAACAAAAGUAUCUUCUAAGUUAUUUACCUUAAAACAUAACCAGAAAAAUCUAUAUAACUUAUGCACUAUGUUGCAAGUCUUAUGAAGACUCCACAGUGUAAAGAUCAGACUUCUCGUUAGCUGAGAGCAUGGAUCUGACUAUUUGUAAG